UACGGAGGGUGCGAGCGUUGUCCGGAAUCACUGGGCGUAAAGCGCACGUAGGGCGGCUUGUUAAGUCAGGGGUGAAAUCCUGGAGCUCAACUCCAGAACUGCCUUUGAUACUGGCAAGCUUGGAGUCCGGGAGAGGUGAGUGGAACUGCGAGUGUAGAGGUGAAAUUCGUAGAUAUUCGCAAGAACACCAGUGGCGAAGGCGGCUCACUGGCCCGGUACUGACGCUGAGGUGCGAAAGCGUGGGGAGCAAACAGG
rnacentral:rRNA from 1 species